rnacentral:rRNA from 1 species
UACGUAGGGGGCUGGCGUUGUCCGGAUUUAUUGGGCGUAAAGAGCGUGUAGGCGGCCAGGUAGGUCUGCUGUGAAAACUCGAGGCUCAACCUCGAGACGUCGGCGGAAACCAUCUGGCUAGAGUCCGGAAGAGGAGAGUGGAAUUCCUGGUGUAGCGGUGAAAUGCGCAGAUAUCAGGAAGAACACCCGUGGCGAAGGCGGCUCUCUGGGACGGUACUGACGCUGAGACGCGAAAGCGUGGGGAGCGAACAGG